rnacentral:tRNA from 1 species
GGGGAAUUAGCUCAGUGGAUAGAGCAGCGGUUUUCUAAACCGUUGGUCGCAGGUUCGAAUCCUGCAUUCCCUGCCA